UUCAGUUUGUAGAUACAAUUUCUACAAAUAAACUACAAAUCAGUUUAAGUAUUGUAUAAAGUUGUAUUGUUACAAUUAUACUACAAUUAAACUACAAUCUUGUGUCAAAAAAAUUUAUGCAUACUAAAUUUCAAUUUAUGUACCAUAAUUCAAAUUAAGGGUAUAAUUAUUGCUUCAUUUAGUCUAGGCGAUGAUUUUAGGAUCAUAUAUUCACUUUAGGUGUAUAUUUAACUUAUACCUUCAAGACUUAAUCUUUUGGAUAGUUCAAAGUAGAACUCAUCGAGGAUAAUCUACAUUUAUAAUCCGAAUCUAAUUCCUAAUAACAUACUAAGGAUUAAUACAAUAGGCGUUUGGACAAUAUUUGGUAAAAGCUGAAAUUUUAAGUUGACAAUAAAAAGAGUAUUUGUAAAUUUGAGCUUACAUACAAUACAAAUAUCAAUUGAAAAACAGUAAGUAAUUUUCUGUUCAUUCGAAAUAAAAUAUUGUAAUUUGGUAACUUAUACACCUAAUGAAUUUAAUAGUGAUUACCGUAUAUUAAGGUGGAGAAAAAUUCGAAAUAAAAUAUUGUAAUUUGGUAACUUAUACACCUAAUGAAUUUAAUAGUGAUUGCCGUAUAUUAAGGUGGAGGAAACAUAAAGAAAGAGAAGAGGAGGAAAAAAAGGGAAAAUGAAUAUAUGUUCCUAAAAUCAUGCCUAGAACAAAUGAAGCAAUAAUUAUACCCUUAAUUUGAAUUAUGGUACAUAAAUUAAAAUUUGGUAUGCUUAAAUGUAAUAAACACAAACCUUAAACAUGGGAGGUAAUAAGAUUUGCUAUAUGAUAUACAUAGAUAAAAAUUCCAUGUUUUUACUGCAAAACAAGCCCAAAUUUAAAAGUUUGGGGCCUGACAAGGACCGAGUGCAAAUGAACUCUAGCCUGAGACAUAUAUUAUCAGUUAUUGGAUUGGACUAAUGAAUUUAUUUCGAAAAAAGACAAUUUGAGCCUGCUUGAGUCUAAUUGAAUCUGGCCCAAUGCAUAUUUCAAGACAGUUAAAUAGAUUUAGUCAAAAACGAUUUAGGCCUAUUGAUCAUGAGUCCAAAUGACUCUGGCCCAAUAUCCAUUUGCGAAAAAAAUACAUGGAGUUACUAAAAAAAGAUUUGGGCUUGAUGAUAAUAAGUCCAGGUGACUUUGGCCCAGUGCAUAUUUGCGUGAAUGAGUUUGAAAUUAAAAUCUAUAAUAACCAUUAUAAAUUUUACUUAUAUUUUAUUCAUUUUUUAAAAUAGGAAGCUAAAAGUUUUUUUUGUGGGAACGCAAGUAAAGUAAACAAAAAGAUGUGUUAUGAAAUAAUAUAAAAGACAAGAACAAUAACUCAAGAACAAGAGCAAAUAGAGAG
rnacentral:lncRNA from 1 species